GGGGUUGUAGCUCAGUGGUAGAGCACUUGCCUCACAAGAGUGAGGCACUGGGUUCAAUCCUCAGCACCA
rfam:Ictidomys tridecemlineatus contig025170, whole genome shotgun sequence.